GAUAUGCGGAGGAACACCGAUGGAGUAGGCAAUGCCUGUACCUGUACUGACGCUCAUGCACUAAAGCGUGGGGAGCUAACAGGAUUAGAUACCGUGGUAGUGCACGCCCUUAACGAUGUCUACUGGUCGUGGGUCUCAACUGACUCAGUAACGAUGCUAACGCGUGAAGUUGACCGCCUGGGGAGUACGGCCGCAAGGUNGAAACCCAAAGGAAUUGACGGGGACCCGCACAAGCGGUGGAUGAUGUGGUUUAAUUCGAUGCAACGGGAAAAACCUUANCCACCUUUGACAUGUACGGAAGGAUCCAGAGAUGGAUUUGUGCUCGAAAGAGAACCGUAACACAGGUGCUGCAUGGCUGUCGUCAGCUCGUGUCGUGAGAUGUUGGGUCAUGUCCCGCAACGAGCGCAACCCUUGUCAUCAGUUGCUA
rnacentral:rRNA from 1 species